UUGCCAUGCCUAGUUGGACUUAACUCAUCCCUACAAAACCAGCUUGUAAGGUGAGUGAUGUCUCCCACAGUCCCACUUAUAAAUUCAUUUUCAGACGAUAUCUUAAUACAGUGUGCGGCUUUGAACAAUAAUAUUAUACAGAGCUAUAAAUUCUAGGAUUUACAGUUACCCUAACUAUGGUAGUUACAUAGAAUUUCACAUUAACUCUAACAACAGGUAAAGGUAAAGAUUUAUAUGAAGAUUGAAAUAUGCACAGUACAUGUCAGUAGUUAUACUUCCUUGUGUAAUCACAGCUAGUUAGCCAAGUAAUUAAAAGUUCUAUGAACACUACCAAUGUGAUAUACUAUAUAUAUGUUAAAGUUCCUGUUAAUUGUAGCAGAACACUUAGCUUACAUAGAUGCCAUUAUGGCCUGUUGGGUUUUUGUAUAUUGGCUACAUUUUGCAAAAACAUCUUUUAGCCAAGUGUUGAGACAUAUGUGCAUGUUGAGACAGAUGUACGUACACAUUGGAACAACACCUGCGUGAUCUGACUGCGCGCCAACUAGCGUUAUUGUUUUAUAUUCAAUCUUUUGAAGAUUUGCUGGAAGAAUUAUUUCAUGGUGACUUAUACAACAAGGCGCAUGUGGUGUAUUAGUCUCUGAAGGCAGCCGAACCCUAGUUCUAUUUUCUAAAGGAAUAAUAACUUUAGAAAAUAUAUUUAUGUGUUUCAAAAAUAUAACUAUGGAUUUGGAAAAUAUGUCUGUUGCUGUCGCAAUUCUAGAAGAUCUAAUUCUGACUUGAAGCCCAAGCUAUUUUACUGCUAUAAAUACGAAGACAAGCAUAUGGUUUCAAGCAUCU
rnacentral:lncRNA from 1 species